UACGUAGGGUGCGAGCGUUAAUCGGAAUUACUGGGCGUAAAGCGUGCGCAGGCGGUUGCUGAAGUCCGUUGUGAAAGCCCCGGGCUUAACCUGGGAAUGGCAGUGGAAACUAGGCGACUUGAAUCUGGCAGAGGGGGGUGGAAUGCCACGUGUAGCAGUGAAAUGCGUAGAUAUCUGGAGGAACACCGGUGGCGAAGGCGGCUACCUGGACCAGCACUGACACUGAAGCACGAAAGCGUGGGGAGCAAACAGG
rnacentral:rRNA from 1 species